rnacentral:lncRNA from 1 species
GGUACAGCCGGGGCUAUGCGGGGCUGGAGCAGCAUCUCAUGGGGGCUCUUGGCUUUUCCAGAUGUUCCCAGUGCCCAGGAGCGGUUCGUGGACGUGGGUGGGAAGCUCCGGGUAAAUUGUUCCAUCCCCGACGCCCCGGGUGGCUGGUUCUUCCUGUACCGAGACGGGGAUCCUGAGCCCCUGGCCUGGAUCGCAGCCAAGGGGGACGAUGGGCUGGCUGGCUUCAAUCUCCCAGAGGAGCAGGCCCUGGGCCCCGGUGGGGUCUUCAGCUGCCGCUACGGGCUGGAGGAACCGGGCACCCGUUUCGACCUGGCUCUCAAUGACACGGAGGUGCAGACCCAAGGCUCACGUUCUGGGGACAGUGAUUACAGCCAGAUCAAUGCGCUGCGCCUGGGCCUGGGGGCCGCCGUGCUGCUGCUGGCGCUGCUCUUUGUAGCCCAGGCCUGCUGGGAGGAGAGACACCUGCAAGGCUGAGGCCAGCCGUCAUGGGCCCGCAGGCGACUGGGGGAAGGAAUAGGCCCCCCCACACACUCCAUGGAGCCCCCUCUGCUGGAAUUCACCCCCGACUCCAUCCCC